UGGAUUGCAUAACUUAUAAAUCACUUCAGAAGAGUUAAGUGUGAAAGGUGAUAUGAAAGUGCGAGUUGUUAACCACCGUCACAGCUGACUGAGCAUUUUGUUUAUUCUCUUACCAGAUUCUGCUUUGGGAGUCUGUACCACAACUAAUUAACCAUAGUGCUUAUAAUUGUAUAAACAGAAUAUAUAACAGAUCUUUAUGAUAUAUAAUUAAUUCUGCCCGUAAGGAAAGCUUUGUAAGUCAAACCAUGUGCUGUUGGAGAACUGCCUCUUUAUGUUCUCCCUUACAAGGCAGGUAUAUUUCCCUGCCAGCAGAGCUCAGGGAACAUUCUAGAAAAUAAUGUUCGUUAAGGCCAGCCAGGUGUUUUCCUGCAGACUGACUACUGGGAGCCCCAUCUCUGAAGCUGAGGUGGUUGCAGCUGUCUCUGCUCCUUCCUUUAUGCAGACUGCAGUGAGAAAAGGCACUUUGGUACAGAAAAUUUUCUGGUUUUAAAGAUCAAACUCACUUGCUGUUGUCAUGCAUUAGCUACUUGUUUAAUCUUGAGUUUUGUCAGCCUUACUUUUCAGCAUUUUUUUGUGUAUUAAGUUCCAAGCUAAACUCAAUCAUUGAUGCAAGACCAGAACAAGAACCCAGAUAAACACAAAUAAUUUGUUUUUGGAUUAUGAUCCAUGAAUAAGCACCACUCAAUAUGGUUAGAGGAUGGCCGUUCUUCCAUCUGCUGUUUGAUGUGCUUGUCCUUCCUGUGUGAAAAAAAACCAACCCCAACAACAAAUGGACACACAUGAGUUCAGACACCUGAUUUCACUAUAUGAAGACCUUUCCUGAAGUGACAGAAAAGACAACAUCCAUCUGUAGGACCUGUUUGAUCAAAGGGGUGAGUCAUCCUUACAUCAGGCCUGGAGCUUUGUGUGUCCCAAGCCAGAGCUGGCUGCAAAAUCUUGAAACACCAGGCUUAGGAGAGCUAAAAGUACUGUGAAAGCCUCCCCUAGACUGUCUGCAGAGAAACCCUAUCUUUAUAAAAUGCUAAUCAGAGCCAGCAAAUUUCCAAGCAUCCCAAGAUGAGAAGCUCAUCCACCUAGUACUCUGCUGAUGGUCUAGUAGGAGAUCUAUUUCUAAAGACCACUGUGCCUUGGGACAUCAGCUCACUCUUUAGACAUCUUAAAUGUACAUAAUAAAAGAAGUUAAUAUGAAGAUGAGUUGUUUGCUGGAAAGGAAAAAAAGAAAAGGAAAGAGAAGAAACGAAAGAGUAAGCAAAGAGCAGAAGCCUCCUUGAUCUAGCCUUGAUCUGGCUGAAUGGGAGGCACAGGUUCACAUUACACUCCUUUGGAAUGAUAAUCACACCCUUCUUUGAGGCUGACACACCACUGGGAGGAUUAUCUUUGCAGGGCAGCCCAGAUCCUUCUCACUGAUAAAGCUGCUGUAACUGAAAAGUAUUUGGCAGAACUGUCACCAUACACACAAACAGAGGAGCUGAGUCUCCUAACCUCAGAGGCUUGGUAUGGGGAGUAGUCUGCAUCAGCUCCCAUGCCCUCCAGAUCAACUCUACAGAUCACCUAUGUAACUUGGAGAAGAAAACACUGUUUCCUUGGGGAUCUUUGAGGUGGUUUCCAAACCUUUUCAGACAGGCUCUGUGCAAUGCAAGGGGGUUAUUUGUUGCCUUCUAUCAGUCCUGGAUUCCACUGGAGACCAAGAGCGUGCCAUGCCAGCAUACACAGCUUACUCAGCUGCCUUCCUCAGAGCUUCAUCACUAAAACAUAGCAUUUAAUAGCAGGACCUGUGAUAGUCGGGUGUGCAAAACCCUUUAGGGAACUGUAAUUUAGCCACUAUGUAACUACAUGAGAGAAGACCACUGCCUAAGAGGAUCCUGAAUUUCAGCAGCCCCUGAGGACUUGACCUUGCAUACUUUGUAGCAUCCAAGAGCUAAAGUUACUCCUGCCUUUAUACCAAUGACAGUAAGGACCAAAGUGACAAUGAGAAAUAAACUAUAUCUGUAACACUGUCCAUGCUUUCUAUUACUAAAGAAUUUUAAAAAAGGAAAAACUCCAUUAAGUCAAAUAGCCCUCCCUCUGUCAAUGAAUAAUAAAAAAAUCAUGCCUUACAA